UGGGGGAUAUUGCACAAUGGGGGAAACCCUGAUGCAGCGACGCCGCGUGAGGGAAGACGGUCCUCUGGAUUGUAAACCUCUGUCUUCGGGGACGAAACGAGACGGUACCCGAGGAGGAAGCCACGGCUAACUACGUGCCAGCAGCCGCGGUAAUACGUAGGUGGCAAGCGUUGUCCGGAAUUACUGGGUGUAAAGGGAGCGUAGGCGGGCAGGCAAGUCAGGCGUGAAAUAUAUCGGCUCAACCGGUAACGGCGCUUGAAACUGCAGGUCUUGAGUGAAGUAGAGGUUGGCGGAAUUCCUAGUGUAGCGGUGAAAUGCGUAGAUAUUAGGAGGAACACCAGUGGCGAAGGCGGCCAACUGGGCUUUUACUGACGCUGAGGCUCGAAAGUGUGGGGAGCAAACAGG
rnacentral:rRNA from 1 species